GGUGAGUAACACGUGGAUAACCUACCUAUAAGACUGGGUUAACUUCGGGAAACCGGAGCUAAUACCGGAUAAUAUAUUGAACCGCAUGGUUCAAUAGUGAAAGACGGUUUUGCUGUCACUUAUAGAUGGAUCCGCGCCGCAUUAGCUAGUUGGUAAGGUAACGGCUUACCAAGGCAACGAUGCGUAGCCGACCUGAGAGGGUGAUCGGCCACACUGGAACUGAGACACUGUCCAG
rnacentral:rRNA from 1 species